rnacentral:rRNA from 1 species
AGUGGAUUAGCGGCGGACGGGUGAGUAACACGUGGGUAACCUGCCUCAAAGUGGGGGAUAGCCUUCCGAAAGGAAGAUUAAUACCGCAUAAUAUAAGAGAAUCGCAUGAUUUUCUUAUCAAAGAUUUAUUGCUUUGAGAUGGACCCGCGGCGCAUUAGCUAGUUGGUAAGGUAACGGCUUACCAAGGCAACGAUGCGUAGCCGACCUGAGAGGGUGAUCGGCCACAUUGGAACUGAGACACGGUCCAGACUCCUACGGGAGGCAGCAGUGGGGAAUAUUGCGCAAUGGGGGAAACCCUGACGCAGCAACGCCGCGUGGGUGAUGAAGGUCUUCGGAUUGUAAAGCCCUGUUUUCUGGGACGAUAAUGACGGUACUAGAGGAGGAAGCCACGGCUAACUACGUGCCAGCAGCCGCGGUAAUACGUAGGUGGCGAGCGUUGUCCGGAUUUACUGGGCGUAAAGGGUGCGUAGGCGGAUGUUUAAGUGGGAUGUGAAAUCCCCGGGCUUAACCUGGGGGCUGCAUUCCAAACUGGAUAUCUAGAGUGCAGGAGAGGAAAGCGGAAUUCCUAGUGUAGCGGUGAAAUGCGUAGAGAUUAGGAAGAACACCAGUGGCGAAGGCGGCUUUCUGGACUGUAACUGACGCUGAGGCACGAAAGCGUGGGUAGCAAACAGGAUUAGAUACCCUGGUAGUCCACGCCGUAAACGAUGGAUACUAGGUGUAGGGGGUAUCAACUCCCCCUGUGCCGCAGUUAACACAAUAAGUAUCCCGCCUGGGGAGUACGGUCGCAAGAUUAAAACUCAAAGGAAUUGACGGGGGCCCGCACAAGCAGCGGAGCAUGUGGUUUAAUUCGAAGCAACGCGAAGAACCUUACCUGGACUUGACAUCCCUUGCAUAGCCUAGAGAUAGGUGAAGCCCUUCGGGGCAAGGAGACAGGUGGUGCAUGGUUGUCGUCAGCUCGUGUCGUGAGAUGUUAGGUUAAGUCCUGCAACGAGCGCAACCCUUGUUAUUAGUUGCUACCAUUAAGUUGAGCACUCUAAUGAGACUGCCUGGGUAACCAGGAGGAAGGUGGGGAUGACGUCAA